CCUACGGGUGGCAGCAGUGGGGAAUAUUGGGCAAUGGGCGCAAGUCUGACCCAGCAACGCCGCGUGAAGGAAGAAGGCUUUCGGGUUGUAAACUUCUUUUCUCAGGGACGAAGCAAGUGACGGUACCUGAGUAAUAAGCCACGGCUAACUACGUGCCAGCCGCCGCGGUAAUACGUAGGUGGCAAGCGUUAUCCGGAUUUACUGGGUGUAAAGGGCGUGUAGGCGGGAAAGCAAGUCAGAUGUGAAAACCAUGGGCUUAAACUGUGGCCUGCAUUUGAAACUGUUUUACUUGAGUACUGGAGAGGCAGGCGGAAUUCCUAGUGUAGCGGUGAAAUGCGUAGAUAUUAGGAAGAACACCAGUGGCGAAGGCGGUCUGCUGGACAUCAACUGACGCUGAGGCGCGAAAGCGUGGGGAGCAAACAGGAUUAGAUACCCCAGUAGUC
rnacentral:rRNA from 1 species